CUCUUAAACCUAAUCUAAUUAGGUUUAAACCCUGUUUUAACCCUUUAAAAGGCCUGUGGACGAACAGUAAAGGGUGUGGAUCAAUUUUUCACGCCGUACGAGCCGUACGGAACCCAAGAGAAGAGAGAGGCGGAAGCGCUGAGAGAGAAGGAGCAGGAGGCUCCUGGAUAACGGUCGUCAGGCACUUCAGGGGUUCAGGGGGUCU
rnacentral:lncRNA from 1 species